rnacentral:rRNA from 1 species
GACGAACGCUGGCGGCGUGCUUAACACAUGCAAGUCGAACGGAAAGGCCCCUUUGGGGGUACUCGAGUGGCGAACGGGUGAGUAACACGUGAGUAACCUGCCCUUGCCUUCGGGAUAACUUCAGGAAACUGGGGCUAAUACCGGAUAGGAAUCCUUGCUGCAUGGUGGGGGUUGGAAAGCUUCGGCGGUUUUGGAUGGACUCGCGGCUUAUCAGCUUGUUGGUGGGGUAGUGGCUUACCAAGGCUUUGACGGGUAGCCGGCCUGGGAGGGCGACCGGCCACAUUGGGACUGAGAUACGGCCCAGACUCCUACGGGGGGCAGCAGUGGGGAAUAUUGCACAAUGGGCGGAAGCCUGAUGCAGCAACGCCGCGUGCGGGAUGACGGCCUUCGGGUUGUAAACCGCUUUCAGCAGGGGCGAAGCUUGUGGUGACGGUACCUGCAGAAGAAGCACCGGCUAACUACGUG